rnacentral:rRNA from 1 species
CCGGGAUAGCCCAGGGAAACCUGGAUUAAUACCGGAUGAGACGGGACCCGCGAUGGCGGGAUCCGGGAAAGGCGCUGCGGCGCGCCGGGGGAUGAGUCUGCGUCCCAUUAGCUAGACGGCGGGGUAACGGCCCACCGUGGCGACGAUGGGUAGCCGGCCUGAGAGGGUGGACGGCCACAUUGGAACUGAGACACGGUCCAGACUCCUACGGGAGGCAGCAGCUAAGAAUCUUCCGCAAUGGGCGAAAGCCUGACGGAGCGAACCGCCGCGUGAACGAAGAAGGCCGUGAGGUUGUAAAGUUCUUUUCGGGAGGGGGAACAACCGUGGCAGGGAAUGGCCGCGGGAUGACGUGAAUCCCGGAAUAAGCCCCGGCUAACUACGUGCCAGCCGCGGC